rnacentral:rRNA from 1 species
UGGGUGAGUAAUGUAUGGGGAUCUGCCUGAUGGCGGGGGGUAACUACUGGAAACGGUAGCUAAUACCGCAUAAUGUCUACGGACCAAAGCGGGGGACCUCCGGGCCUCGCGCCAUCAGAUGAACCCAUAUGGGAUUAGCUUGUAGGUAAGGUAACGGCUUACCUAGGCGACGAUCCCUAGCUGGUCUGAGAGGAUGAUCAGCCACACUGGAACUGAGACACGGUCCAG